GCGUAAUAGCUCACUGGUCUAGUGAUUUUGCGCGGAAAAUAUAACGGGGCUAAAGUAAGUACCGAAGCUGUAGACUUGCACACAACUUAGAUUAUUUAAGUUUAGAAUAUUAAGAAACUAAGUUAUAUGUUUUAGUUAUAUUUUUACUGAUUUUUAUAGGGUAAAGAUAGAAAUAAAACUUAGUAAAAUCAGUAAAAAUAUUCUUAGGCUAAAGUUAAGUAGUUUAAGUUGUGUGCAAGUGGUAGGAGAGCGUUCUAUUUGCGUCGAAGGUAUACCGGUAAGGAGUGCUGGAGCGAAUAGAAGUGAGCAUGC
rnacentral:rRNA from 1 species